CCGAGUUUUCAACUCCCAAACCCCUGUGAACAUACCUAUCGUUGCCUCGGCGAGAGUAGCCCCAGGCGUUGGCGCAAGCCUUCGCCCUGGUAUCAGGCGCUCGCCGGAGGACCCAACUAAACUCUUGUAUUCUAAAGAAUCUUCUGAGUAACCAAAACAAAUAAAUUA
rnacentral:misc_RNA from 2 species